GACGAACGCUGGCGGCGUGCUUAACACAUGCAAGUCGAACGGUAAGGCCCUUCGGGGUACACGAGUGGCGAACGGGUGAGUAACACGUGGGUGAUCUGCCCUGCACUUCGGGAUAAGCCUGGGAAACUGGGUCUAAUACCGGAUAGGACCACUGCCUGCAUGGGUGGUGGUAGAAAGCUUUUGCGGUGUGGGAUGGGCCCGCGGCCUAUCAGCUUGUUGGUGGGGUGAUGGCCUACCAAGGCGACGACGGGUAGCCGGCCUGAGAGGGUGACCGGCCACACUGGGACUGAGAUACGGCCCAGCCUCCUACGGGAGGCAGCAGUGGGGAAUAUUGCACAAUGGGCGCAAGCCUGAUGCAGCGACGCCGCGUGAGGGAUGACGGCCUUCGGGUUGUAAACCUCUUUCAGCACCGACGAAGCGCAAGUGACGGUAGGUGCAGAAGAAGGACCGGCCAACUACGUGCCAGCCGCCGCGGUAA
rnacentral:rRNA from 1 species